rnacentral:rRNA from 1 species
AUUGAACGCUGGCGGCAGGCCUAACACGUGCAAGUCGAGCGAGCGGCGGACGGGUGAGUAAUGUCUGGGAAUCUGCCUGAUGGAGGGGGAUAACUACUGGAAACGGUAGCUAAUACCGCAUACCAUCAGAUGUGCCCAGAUGGGAUUGGCUUGUAGGUGGGGUAAAGGCUCACCUAGGCGACGAUCCCUAGCUGGUCUGAGAGGAUGACCAGCCACACUGGGACUGAGACACGGCCCAGACUCCUACGGGAGGCAGCAGUGGGGAAUAUUGCACAAUGGGCGCAAGCCUGAUGCAGCCAUGCCGCGUGUAUGAAGAAGGCCUUCGGGUUGUAAAGUACUUUCAGUGGGGAGGCGUUACCCGCAGAAGAAGCACCGGCUAACUCCGUGCCAGCAGCCGCGGUAAUAC